ACCAGCCAUUGCCUUCAUCAAUGGAGGGAGAAGAUAUGAAAGAUAACAAACAUUCUCGUGCUUUUAUCUCAAAAGUUAUCAAUAUGAAGCUGACUUUCUUGCCUGCUUGGGUGUUGUAUUACAUCAAAUCACUGAAUCAGAUUGCCUAGUUUACUGUUUUUGUGAAGCUAGGCCUGCUCUUGAAUAGGCAUCAGAAGACAAAACAGCGCUAUCGAUGAUGGACAAUGAUUAAUGGAGCUUGAGCUUCACAAAAGUUUGAGAUGUCCAAACAGUUGGAUUCUCACUUAAGCUUGGCAUGUGAGACAAUAGAACUUUCGCCAGAAAAUGAGGUCCGUGAGAACCAAUGGGGGUUGCUCAAGCUUUUCAAAGUACACAUCUGCGAUGGGUUCAUUUCCUUCUUAUUCAAGUUCUAUAUCCCACCAACUAUUUGAGCUUUGGUUGUUGGACCCUUCAUGAUAUUGGAAAGAAGCUGUCUUGUAAGAAAUUUUUUGUGUUCCGUUUCAAGGAUGGUUUCGUUGUUACCAUUUUGAAGUUUAUAACAAAGGAUUUCAAAAUUUAUUUAUUUAUGUCCCA